CCGGAGCCCUUCUUUUGUUUUGUUUUUAAGGAUUUACUCUCUUGUCCCAGAGGAAGCCUCUUAAAAGUUCCUCUUUUCUGCUUUGUAGAUCAGGGGCUUGAACUCUGGCCUUCAAGACUAUGCACCAGACUUACCCACUGAAUCGUCUCCCUACUCUGCCUGGCUUUUAAAAGUUACAGGAAAAGUUUAUUUUCAUUAGAUAAAGCAGCUUCUUAGAGCCUUCGUCUGACUUGGAGCUUGACCGGAGGCACCGUCUGGUUCUGCGAGCCAGAGUGCUCAUUCACGGACAGUCAGCGCUGGGCCUGGCCUCCCAGAGCUGUGUGUGUGGCCUGUGUUGCUCUGUGGAGGGAUAUGCAUUUUGAGGUAUAUGCUUUUGGCACUAGGAGAGCUGGGGCUGCUGGUAAAUGUGUAUACUUAGAGAUGAGUGUCCUGUGUGGGUCAGUCAGUGGCAUAAAUUAGGCAACAGCUCAUCUAACCAAAGUGAGCAUCUAAGUUCUUGUGGCUAAGGUCGAUGCUAGAAUUCCCUUUCUUCACUUCACAAGCCAACUGCAAUGUGAUCAUGUAUGUUGGUGGCUCUAGACUACCGAUGGCUUUGGCACAUACCCACACCACCUAUGCCUCUUACUAAAGUUCUAGGACUUCAGAACUAAAGAUCCCAGACGCUAGAGUACUGGGAACUCAGGUACUUAAGGAGGGGAUGCUGGAGGGAGACACGGAACAACGGGAAGGACACUGGAUUGGAUAAAGGGCUAGCCUCUGGUACCUGCUCUGCCAUUCUUUGAUAAUGAUUGUCAAAGAAAAAGCAAAAAUUUAUAUGGAACAAGGCCAUUGCUACUUGAAACCCAACAGAUUAUUCAACUUAUAAAAUUCUCUAUGAGCAGGGAGAAAGAAUCUUUUGAAGAAAAAUAGUGACAUGUAUGUUACUAUAGCUCACUGAGCACAGGUGCAUGUGUGUUCCAACCAAGCUGGCAACCCUCAGACUACUACACACCAGCCAGUCUUGUUCACCCAGGCCUCCGACCUUAGGGGUACUAGUCAGAUGUCUGCUUUCCCCUAAACAGGAAGUACGGCCGACUGGUCAGGAGGACUCAACAAUUCCUAGUAGACACUGAGUGCACAAACAAUUCCUGGUGAGUGACUGACUGGAAGAGAUUUCUCAUUGCUCUCAAACAUGAGUCAUGAGGGUACUAGUUGCCACGGAAGAGGGGCACCACUGGUUCCCUGAGCAUGAGGGAGGUGUUCAACCCUGAACUGGAGUAACAGUUUGGUAUAAAAUCACUUAGGCUAUGGUAAGAAAUGCCAUUUUUAUCUUAAAUAAAUGAAAAACUCCAGCAAGUAAAACCACAUCCUUAUGCUUAACGCUCUUCUGCAUAAAAAAAAAUCCCCUUAAGAAGUGCGUGUGUGUUUUAUGUGUUUUAAGACAGUUCAGUCCAGUCCAAUCCAGUAGACUUGAACUCAAGCAUUUGAAUAUGACAGUAGAUUCCUGAUUCUCCGUCUGCCUGGACUUUAGGCAUGACCUGUCAGACACAGCCCCUCUACUGUUCUUGGUGUCAUCUUACUGGACGCUGACUGGAGCUCACUGCCUUCCAUCCAGCCUAAGAUACUAAGAGCAGACCCUGAGGACACUUCACCCUGCUCACCCUCACAGGAAAGCAGCACAUUGAGGUACUGCGGACAUUCAUCUGCAGAUGGCCUUUCACUCAGGUUUAAUAAGUACAGCCUGAGGACUGCUGGACACACAGAUGGCUUCUUCAAGCCCUCAGGAAUAUGAAGCAUACUCACAUCCUGCUGUUCGUCUCCAGAGAAAACACGGAGUCAUUUCAGGUAAUUUCCAUUUAAUUUAACAUUUAUUUUCAUUUAUAACGAGAUGUCACAUUUUCUACAUUAAAAUAUAAUCAUGCUGACCGCCCCCCCAUCCCCUCAGAGAAAAACAACUGGAAGGUGGAAUGCUCGGAGUGGGGAAGUUAUGGCUGCACCUGAGAACACACAGCA
rnacentral:sRNA from 1 species